GUGCAGCGCACCCAGAUAAACCACUAGUGCUCUCUACGCCUACUGCUCACUUUACCCCCUCAUGUUCUGUGCUCACUCACCUCCUGUUCAGUGUCUGCCUUAGCCUUAACGCCACGCCAUUACAACAGAAUAAUGUUCAGGUGUAGCCCUACGGUGUUCACACAACGUCACGCCCAGCGUUAUAGCGUCCGGUGACUUUGGCCGUGCCUGCCGCGGGCGUUUUGUUCCCCUGUUUUGUCGCCGGGGUUUUACGCGCGAUGCCGGAGACCGCAAAUCUGAGCAGCAGUCAGAUGCUGGGAGACUUGUGCGAGUGACCGAGUGCGUGCGCCUCUCUCUGGGAGUGCUUGCCUUUCAUAAGAAGUGCAUACUUGUGGCACUUGUGCAAUGUUAUUUUGUGACUCAUCUUGAGCGUGGUGAAGCACUCCGGAUAUGCUCAGUGUACUGUCCUGCACAGUAAUGAAAGAGCAUCUGUUUCACAUUCAUCUUCUGUCAGGACGGGCGUCCCAACAUACAACAUCACAGUCCUGUUCAGUGUGUGGUUUGGAUGCGGUACCGACCCGAAAAGGCUCCGGGCCUUGUGCUCCUGAGGCCCGAGAUGCUCUUAUUCUGCCCAGUCCACAGUGUACGAUCCGCACCAGCCAGGUCACUCUAUGUUCUGUCUGUUUAACACCAGACAUUGUGCCAAAUUACCAAAUAUCUUAUCUGCAAUUUUAAUUUACCAAACAAGUCGACCAAUCAGAGUACUCAAUAGGAGUGCUUCCUGUCUCCAUGUUGCCACCACACCAGCAGCAAACCAAGAGGGCUCCUACUAAUAUCUUCUCUUUUGCCUUUCCAUAAUUCAUACUUCUGUGAUGUAGAUGUAUCACUGUACUAGUGCCAAAUGUUUGAACAAAGCACUCUUCCCCAUCUUCAGAAUGGGCAUGUAUAUAUUUAUAUAACUUCCAUUGUACUGUAUAUACAUACUGUAUCUUUGUAUAUUUCUGAAAUAAGUCCAUAAAUAUAAGUAGCGCUUAAAAAUAGCGUUAUAUAAACAGUAGCUCUGGGCACAGUCACUCUUCCUGACCCAGGUGAUACGUUUAGCUUUAAAAAAACAAAGUGAUAAGAAUGUACACUGACUAGUGGUUUUGGUACUCUGAGGAUUAGUUUAUCUAAUGGCAGGCUGUGUGUUUAGACCGAGCUGGGCACCUGGGUUAUAGUGUCUAUAACAGUGCAAACAUGCUUAUCUGCAUGUGCAAAAGCCGCAUCUCUGUAUCAGAUGCAGACGCUGCGUCUCUCUGUAUCGGAUGCAGCAGCUGCGUCUCUCUGUAUCGGAUGCAGCAGCUGAACCGUGCCCAGAUGUUUGUGUAGGUGGCCAUCCAGGUGUGACAGGAAUUUGUGUGGGUGGUUAUGUGCUGUAGGUGUGACACAGGUAUUUGCGCCGGUGGUUAUACAGGUGUGGCGUAGGCAUUCGCACAGGUGGUUCUACACGUGUGCUUAUUUGGCAAGAUGAUUCAAUUGAGUUGUUACCCAGUUGUUCUUGUUGAGUGCUUUGGACGCCAAACACACGUGAGAGGAGCUUGGAUGUGAAAUUGCAGUUGGAUUCUAUUUCUGUUUGUCACUGUUUCAAAGGCCUUAUCUCUUCUCAUUGUUCUGUUUUUUUUCCUAGUUUUGUCAAGCAAUCACACCAACGCACAGCACCAUGAUUUUCAGCAAUGUUUAAUAAAAUAAUAAGCUAUUUAUUGAUCAUUUUCUGUAUGAGUCCUUUACAUUUGUAGAUAUGAAAGGAUGAUGAUCAGUUUUUAUUGAGUUCAGUUUUAUUUUUUAUUAAAUCCUAUCUGUUCUGGGAGCAGGUGUGCUGCCCAUUAGGGCUUCUGGUACUGGUGCUGUUUCUUCCCGUGACCACCGGGGGGUGCUGUGCUGCGUUGUGAACAAUGCCGUACCUCAGCGUUAUUCAUGUCACUUUUCUCAGUUAUAAAUGUACAGUCAUGUAGACUUGACUGAUUAAGCUUUUUUUUAUGGAAAUAAAGCAACAAUAUGUUUGUGUAAUGAA